GUUGAGCAAUGGCGUCGCAGAAUACUGGGCACGGGAAAUCGCAGCGUGUUCACUCUCCGAAUGCUAGAACACAAUUGAACAGGAUUUGAUGCUUUUUUUUGGUUGGCACCACGCUCCAAGCCCUUCCCCUCAGUGCGAAUUUUCAAAAAGCCCACGCAAAGCUCCUACUUCCACCCCUCGGUCUACGCGAGAUGCAGCGAUGAUGCGCGCGUACGUGUCCUGCGCAGCACUCUCAGCGCGGCGUGGAGGUGCGAAAGAGACGACGCUAUGGAAGCAUGCAAAAAGCGCCCAGAGCUGGAAGCUUCCAAUGCUUUCGCUAUCGCCGUGGGCAAACCGCUAGGAUUGAAAACGAUCUAUUUGUAUGGAUAUUUCGAUAAAAGUGAGUAAUUCGCAUUACUAAACCGGUGAUCCACAACGCGCGGACAACGGAUUUUACUGUACCAGGGAACAGUUUCUCGAUUCGACACCCCUGCACGGGCCGUGCUUACGGGCGCAGUGACAGCGUACGUCAGUGUUUUGCUCUGCGGUCGGUCGCUAGCUGGAGCACAUUGAAGGUAAACAUUGGAAAGGAAAGUUUGGAUAAGCUGCAGUGAAGUUGUGCUUGUUUCGAUGGGAAAGAUGAGGCUGUCUGAGCGAAUGGUUCAAAAUAAUCUACUCCCGUACUCGAAGGUGCUGGUUUGCUCACACGACAACGGGUGAGAAUGUGUGACAACGAAGCGAGCUUCUGCUGGGACAGCGGCCGUACAAAAGGAAAUAUCUCCAUCUCCCCGUUUGGGACAGUUGCUGCGCGAAAGGACGAAGGCUGUGAAGCAGCACAAUCCCACAACGGCACGAACGGGUGGUCGUGCCGAGCUGCUGGCCGGUGGCCGGAUUGCACUGUACGGCGAUUCAACGCAUCUGGAGAAGCCGUGCUACACGACGACGGGCGAGAAACGUCCCAUACCUGUGUGUCAACGGCUAGAGUGGGAAUAUCCGGUCACGCUGCACAUGUCCAGCUUAAGCUUCGGCACCGGUCCAAACGAUCGAUCAUCUACUCGUCCAGGAACUAAAGCAAGGCCCACCGCAACCAAUCAUGCCGUUGGUGGGGAACGAGCUCGUCUACAGCAGCCGGGGUCGUAGAUUGGAAAGUCAGAAAGGUGGUAAUGCCGCGCUCGGCGCCAACGAUGAAACGAUGAACGAAUGAGGCGCCUUGUGGUAGAUGUAUCUUGUUGAAGAAAAUGGAAAAAAGGAAAUGUCCCCAAAUGAGCGAUGUGUGUGUGUGGAGAGAGCAACAGAAGCAGCAAAAAGAUGAACAUACAUUUUAUCAAUCCGUAUUGGUGUGAAUGUGUUCCUAGCCCACACGGGGAGGAACGCAAAAUAAAGAAGAAAAUAUGUUUAUAACGAACACACAAGCGCGAGCGAGGAUGGUGGCGAUUGUUUGAAAGAAAAGGCCUCCUUUGAUUGCGAAACAGAACAGGAGCAAAGGAGACAAAGGAACAGUUUGGACAAGUUUGAACCGAUCGGUGGCGGUGGUAUUGUUCUUGUUGCGAAAGAAUGCAAGUGAGGGAGAACGGGACAGUUUCUUCGAAUGUGUUGGAUCCGUGUGGAGUUGCCGUUGGGGUCAAACCGAGGGAUCAGUGUAUCGAUGGCAGCCAGUGCGAUGAGUUGUGAUGAAGCGGAACCAAGAGUGAACCAAAGCGACCAAGAGAAGUGGAAAUUGCAACCUUUUUCUUUCAACCAUUUCCCCAAUAACCCAACAACGAGUGAGAUACUUCAGUGGAAGAACGCCGCAUUCAACUAGUGCUGCUUCGGUUGGACUGGUUUUGAAGCAACCCGAUAUGUGCUUGACGGCCCGGUGGUAUAGUGGAGCGAAUUGUUGAAUAAGAUCUGUGGAACCUAGUGAGGAAAUCUCCGCCCCGUACAGCAGCCGCGGCAAGAACCAGCCCUUUAGGACUGCCAACAGCGCUGGGCGAGGGGUGUUAUUCUGUGCCAACGUACGGAUUAUAUUUAAACGAGGUAUGGUGCGUCUUUUAAUUUCUCUGCAGUGGGGCCCGAAGGACGGUUGCGGACACGUGUGAUUCCGCUUGGUAUAUGUAAAAUUUUGCUCUUUGAAGCCGCUAUAGAGUUGCCGGUCCAGUUGGUCCACUGGAAAACCUUGUUGACAGCAUGCUGUAGCUUGAGUCGUGCGGUCUUGGCGUAGUGGUGUGUGGAAACUAGUAUUAUGUCGUCAGCGUAAAGGAAGAUGUGUACGUUUGUGGGGAGGGAUAGUAGUAGGGAUUCGAUGCUUAUAAGGAAGAGGGUGGGAGACAAAGAAGACCCUUGCGGAACUCCGUUCUCAAGAGGGAAAGGGCGGGAAGUGUACGAGCCUAGCAGGAUUUUAAAGGUCCGAUCGGUUAGGAAAUGUUGCAGAAAUGCCGUUAAGCGGCCACCUAUGCCCCAUUUUGCCAAUUGAUCUAAUAUGUAGUAUCGCCAGGUGCGGUCAAAGGCCUUUGACAGGUCAAUGAUUGCGCAGAUAAUGUGUUUUCCUUUGUUCCUUGCUGUAGAGAAACACUGCUCUAAUGUCGCAAGGUAUGUUUCCAUACUCUUGCCGGGUCGAAAGGCGUGUUGGUGUUUGUUGAGGAGUUUACGGUCUUCGAGCUUCGUAAUGAGUCUCCGGUUGACCAUUUUCUCCAUCACCUUGCAGGUGCAAGGGAGUAGAGAGAUGGGCCGGUAGCUAUUGGCACUAUUGCUGGGUUGAUUAGGUUUGGGGAUAGGCACUAUCAGACUAUUUUUCCAUUCUGAUGGGAUGUUUCCGGUGGUCCAGAUAUUGUUGUAAAUAGCGAGCAAACGGUAAUGAGCAAUGAGAGGUAGAUUUUUGAGCAAAGGGUAGCCGAUAUUGUCGGCACCGGCAGAGUUUCCCUGGCAGCUGUUAAGUGCCCAGUGGAGCUCUCUUAUGGAAAACAGUUGAUUGUACGAUUUGUGGUUUGUGUCAGGAAAAGUGAUGGGAAGGUUGGACUCGGUAUUUAUUUUGUGAGCUAUGAAACUGGAAGAGUAGUUUUUGGUGGCUGAGGAGUUGUAGAAGUGAUUGCCGAGUGUUUGGGCAAUUUCGGGCGUGGAUGUAAUUGAUUGGUUGUUUUCGAUCAAAGUGAAGGUAGAGGAUGGUUUUUCCCAGACAUGUAGUUUAUCUGUCCCCAGACCUGUUUGAGUGUACUGGAUGGCUUGAUACUGUGCGCCAAGCUAGUCCAACCGGAGGCCUUAGCCUCUUGGAUGGCCCGCUUAGCUUUGGAGUUGGCUAUGCGAUAUAGGCUGGCUAGAUGAGGUGUAAUGGGGUUGUUGGGAAUACGAGUGCUCCGCCGCAGUUUGCGAAGGGCGGAUCUGCGUUCUUUGAUGGCUAAUUGAACGUCCUUGUUCCACCAGGGUACGGAUUUGCCGGAUUUGAAACCUUUUGUAAUAGGAAUACUGAGUUUGGCUGCUUUUAAGAUUAGGUUGUGGAGCUCGUCUAUUGUCAUGUCGUUGUUGGUCGAGAUGUGUGAGUCUAUUGUUUGCUGGUAUAGCGACCAAUUGGCCUUUUCAUAUUUCCAACGAGGUCGGGAUGUUGGUCUGGCGUCUAUUUGGUUGUGUUGAAUGAGAAUCGGAAAAUGGUCACUGCCGUGAAGGUCGGGGGCUAUGGACAGUUUGAAUUGAGAGCAAAUAUCGUUCGAUACUGCACAGUGGUCUAGAGUGGAUUCCUUUCCAUCAGCGGGAGAAAUGCGAGUGGGUUGAUGAUUUUGAAGCACAUACAUGCUGUUAAGCUCAAAGUAAGCGUACAGCAGUUUACCGCGUGGAGUACACUUAUCGUUGCCCCACGCUGUGUGGGAGCAGUUUAAAUCGCCAAUUAUUAUCUUAGGGUGGUCGGUUUGCAUGGCUACGCUAUUGAGGUCGUUUGUUAGGUAGAGAAAUGAUGAAUGGGGAAUGUAGCUAUUGAUGAUGGUCACUGUGCAGGGAUAUUUUAUUUUCACGGCUAGUACUGGGAGUGGUGAAUUGAUAGAGACGAAUUCGUGGUCGAUUGUUUUUAAAACGCCUAUUGCUAUGUUGUGGUGAAUGUUGUUGAAAUUUUUAAAAUACCAUUGGUAUUGCGCGAAGGAAGUGUUGAAAACAGGUGGAAUAAACAUUGUUUCUUGGAGUGUGAUUAUA